AGACCGUGGUGUGGACAGCAUCUAAGUCCUUGUACCUCUCCCAAGCAUCAUACAUGCUCUCGUCUUCCAUUUGCACAAAAGAAGAAAUGUCAUUCCUUAAUUU
rnacentral:snoRNA from 1 species